AGAUUGUGUUGGGGGAAAUUCCUAAGUAUACCUUUGUACCUCUCCCAUGCUUUAAACAAAGACUCGCCAUCAUUUUCUUGGAAGUUUUCUAUUUUUUUCUUAAGCUU